rnacentral:lncRNA from 1 species
GGAACACGCUGGCUCUUUUCGGGCCUGAAUCAAGGCUGAGUCUGUGGGAAACGUGUCCGGUUUGGGAGAGAGGAAAGCAAAGCGCCCUGCAUUCUACCCAGUGGCUCUAUUUUCACUAGUGAAGGUACUUCCUUCAAGCACAGCAUGGAGGUUAAGAGCACGGAAAUUUGCAGCUGCCGGCUCUAUUUUGGAAUUACCCUGUGCUCCUUACAAGACCCGUGACCGUGGCUGAUUUACUUAGGCUUCCUGAGCCUAGCUUCCUCAUCUGCAG